rnacentral:rRNA from 1 species
GGGAAUGGCGGCGUGCCUAUACAUGCAGUCGAGCGAAUGGAUUAAGAGCUUGCUCUUAUGAAGUUAGCGGCGGACGGGUGAGUAACACGUGGGUAACCUGCCCAUAAGACUGGGAUAACUCCGGGAAACCGGGGCUAAUACCGGAUAAUAUUUUGAACCGCAUGGUUCGAAAUUGAAAGGCGGCUUCGGCUGUCACUUAUGGAUGGACCCGCGUCGCAUUAGCUAGUUGGUGAGGUAACGGCUCACCAAGGCAACGAUGCGUAGCCGACCUGAGAGGGUGAUCGGCCACACUGGGACUGAGACACGGCCCAGACUCCUACGGGAGGCAGCAGUAGGGAAUCUUCCGCAAUGGACGAAAGUCUGACGGAGCAACGCCGCGUGAGUGAUGAAGGCUUUCGGG